rnacentral:misc_RNA from 1 species
AAUAAAAUAAAAUAAAGUAAAAUUUUUUGAAAAUUAAUCAUGUCUUGGCGCAAUGAAGCAUCCACAUUAGUAGCUCAUAAAACUACCAUAUAUUGUUGUUUACAAUAAAUGCAAAAUCCAUGCAAAUUAAUAGGAACUUCUGAACUUCUGGGCCUCUAGCCUUGAUAAAAAGAUAAUAUCAAACCACCAACCAAGACUAGGAAACAUAACACAUGAUUACGAUGUAACAUGAGAUUCAUAGAACUUUAACCAUUGAUGUGUUUUGAGUCAGCAUUAAUCCUUAUAAGGAAACACCACAGCUGAGUUGACAAAUGCUACAUCGCAACCAGGCAGUGGUGCAUACAACAAGACCCUAACAUUGCUCUAAUUGCUAUGGGCAUGCCCUGUCAUUUUGGUUAUAAAUAUCAAAUUAAAAAAUUUUAACACGUGUCUACUGUGUGGUGCCUACAAAUGCUCCCUAUUGUUCAUGGACAUUCUCAAAUAAAUUUUGCAGUAAUUUUUUUGAUAAUUCAUUCAUAGGACAACUUUUGACGGAAAAGAAAAAGCUGAGUUCAGGCAAUAUUGACACUUGGGUCGUUGCUUUUUCUCAAAUUAAAUUAUAUAGUCCUUAACUUUUUAAAUUUCUUACACUUUAUUCCUAUGAAACAUCACACACUUUAGUCCCUUAUUUUUUUAAAAUGAAACGAGAAUUUACUGUAGAAGACAAAGAAUUUAGAUAAUUUCUUUUAUAUUUCUUCAUACAAAAAUGAUUUACAAGAAUUCUAAUUUAUAUACAAAGGCUAU